rnacentral:lncRNA from 1 species
CGGGUACUAACCUGAAAAUUUUCUCUUAAUAUGAGGAUCAAUUAAGGAUUUAAGCCUAAUUUAAAAGAAGAAUUUUUUAUUUUUACUUUUAUUUUUUUAUAUGUUUGAUUGGAUGAAAGGAUUUUUAUUUAAAACACGUCUCCAUUCAAGAGGAGUUAAUAAUUCAACUUAAGUAUGUGAUGGUUAUUUUGAUUAUAAAUUAUGUGAUGAUUAUUCUGAUAAUAAAUUAUAUAGAAUUUGAAAAUAU